rnacentral:rRNA from 1 species
UACAGAGGUCUCAAGCGUUGUUCGGAUUCAUUGGGCGUAAAGGGCGCGUAGGCGGCGGGGCAAGUCGGGUGUGAAAUCUCAGGGCUCAACCCUGAAACUGCACUCGAUACUGCUCUGCUUGAGGACUGGAGAGGAGACUGGAAUUCACGGUGUAGCAGUGAAAUGCGUAGAUAUCGUGAGGAAGACCAGUGGCGAAGGCGGGUCUCUGGACAGUUCCUGACGCUGAGGAACGAAAGCUAGGGGAGCAAACAGG